rnacentral:rRNA from 1 species
UACAGAGGUCUCAAGCGUUGUUCGGAUUCAUUGGGCGUAAAGGGUGCGUAGGUGGUGGGGUAAGUCGGAUGUGAAAUCCCGGGGCUCAACCCCGGAACUGCAUUCGAUACUGCCUUGCUCGAGUACUGGAGAGGAGACUGGAAUUUACGGUGUAGCGGUGAAAUGCGUAGAUAUCGUAAGGAAGACCAGUGGCGAAGGCGGGUCUCUGGACAGUUCCUGACGCUGAGGCACGAAGGCCAGGGGAGCAAACGGG